rnacentral:rRNA from 14 species
CUCAAAUCAGGUAGGACUACCCGCUGAACUUAAGCAUAUCAAUAAGCGGAGGAAAAGAAACCAACAGGGAUUGCCCUAGUAACGGCGAGUGAAGCGGCAACAGCUCAAAUUUGAAAUCUGGCUCUUUCAGAGUCCGAGUUGUAAUUUGCAGAGGGUGCUUUGGUGGUAGUUGCGGUCUAAGUUCUUUGGAACAGGACGUCACAGAGGGUGAGAAUCCCGUGCGAUGAGAUGCCCAAUCCUAUGUAAAGUGCUUUCGAAGAGUCGAGUUGUUUGGGAAUGCAGCUCUAAGUGGGUGGUAAAUUCCAUCUAAAGCUAAAUAUUGGCGAGAGACCGAUAGCGAACAAGUACAGUGAUGGAAAGAUGAAAAGAACUUUGAAAAGAGAGUGAAAAAGUACGUGAAAUUGUUGAAAGGGAAGGGCUUGAGAUCAGACUUGGUGUUUUGUGUACAUUUUCCUUCUUGGAUUGUGCUUUCGCAUUACUACCGGGCCAGCAUCGGUUUGGGUGGUAGGAUAAUGACAUUGGAACGUGGCUCUACUUCGGUGGAGUGUUAUAGCCUUUGUUGAUGCUGCCUACCUAGACCGAGGACUGCGUCUUUUGACUAGGAUGCUGGCGUAAUGAUCUUAAGCCGCCCGUCUUGUAACACGGACCAAGGAGUCUAACAUCUAUGCGAGUGUUUGGGUGUCAAGCCCAUACGCGUAAUGAAAGUGAACGGAGGUGGGAACCUUAGGGUGCACCAUCGACCGAUCCUGAUGUCUUCGGAUGGAUUUGAGUAUGAGCAUAGCUGUUGGGACCCGAAAGAUGGUGAACUAUGCCUGAGU